rnacentral:rRNA from 1 species
GGGGAAUACUGCACAAUGGGCGCAAGCCUGAUGCAGCCAUGCCGCGUGUAUGAAGAAGGCCUUCGGGUUGUAAAGUACUUUCAGCGAGGAGGAAGGCAUUAAGGUUAAUAACCUUAGUGAUUGACGUUACUCGCAGAAGAAGCACCGGCUAACUCCGUGCCAGCAGCCGCGGUAAUACGGAGGGUGCAAGCGUUAAUCGGAAUUACUGGGCGUAAAGCGCACGCAGGCGGUUUGUUAAGUCAGAUGUGAAAUCCCCGGGCUCAACCUGGGAACUGCAUUUGAAACUGGCAAGCUUGAGUCUCGUAGAGGGGGGUAGAAUUCCAGGUGUAGCGGUGAAAUGCGUAGAGAUCUGGAGGAAUACCGGUGGCGAAGGCGGCCCCCUGGACGAAGACUGACGCUCAGGGGCGAAAGCGUGGGGGGCAAAC